CCUACGGGAGGCAGCAGUAGGGAAUAUUGCUCAAUGGCGGAAACCCUGAAGCAGCAACGCCGCGUGAAGGAAGACGGUUUUACGAUUGGAAACUCCUUUUGUUAGAGCAGAUUAUGACGGUAUCUGACGUAUAAGCACCGUAUCACUCCGUGCCAGCAGCACCCGUAAUUCGGGAGGUGCCAGCGUUAAUCGGAAGCACUGGGCGUAAAAAGUGCUUAGGCGGGGUAAUGAGUCCGGCGGGAAAUUGUGUCGCCUAACUACAGAACUGCAUUUGAAACUGUAUCUGUGGAGUGUGAGAGAGGUAGGUGGAAUGCUUGGUGGAGGGGUAAAAUCCGUAGAGAUCAAGAGGAAUACUCAUUGCGAAGGCGACCUGCUGGAACAUUACUGACGCUGAUGCACGAAAGCGUGGGGAGCGAACAGGAUUAGAUACCCCAGUAGUC
rnacentral:rRNA from 1 species